rnacentral:lncRNA from 1 species
AUCGCACAAUUUCAUGCAUGUUUUUGUUCAUUUUCAUCGAGAAGAUCUUUUGUGCAGUGGUGGUGACGACUGAUGGGUAAGUAAGUAAGUAACUGUGAGUUUUGUAAUGAGCUCGUCCUUUCCUUUUAAUUUCCUACCUACAAGUCUACAGGACUAAACUGGGCAGAAGGCAUUGAAGGAUGGAGGAAAACCCUAAAAGUUGGGUAAAGGUGGAGAAAGCGACGGGACGAGUAGAAAACUGUAUAUAACAGCGUUGUUUUUUUUGUCCAGACGAAAGUGAGGGGUUGGUUAGUUAGCCUUCACGGGGAUUUUGGAUUUAUGCACUGUCCCAACUGUGUCGUCUCUAUCUUUUAUUGCAUUUUCAGAAUAACAUUUUUAAAACUUCAUUUUAUCAUCAACUAAUUUCGACUUUCACUUUUUCUGUACAGCGGUGGCCGGUGGUAACUCCUUCCUUGCAAUAUCUCGGUUGUCUCCUUGAAAUCUCUUUAAUAAUCAAAUGUGGAACACAUCAAAAAAUUUGCAAUAAAGUAGACAGUUCGAUCGAAACAUAGUUAACGGUAUAUCCUUAAAUGAUUGGCGGAUGUCCUUAAUUGAUAGGUGAUCAAUACUGGUGGUUCUCGUCGAUAUACUGCUUUAAACGACAUUGUUCCUAAACUCUUGUGGAAGGUGGUGUUAUACCACAUGACUGGCCAUCGGUUUGGGGAUGAUAAGCCGACGACAUUUGUAGUGUUGUACAAUUUUUUGAUAGUAUUUCCUUCCAAAAAUGGUUCUGGGAUAUCUUAUUCCGAUUUAACGUCUGAGGAAAUCCGUGUAACUUCAGUACCUGAUAUAUGAAAAAUUCUGUCAUUGUUGCCAGAAUGUAGUCUGCUGUGAACGAACCCAGAUCGAUGAUAGUAUUUCGAUAGCCUAUCCAUCGCUACGACUAUCACCGAUUUGUUUUUAACUACAGGUAAGCCCGUAAUGAAAUCCAUUGAUAUGUCUAUCCAAAUCCUCUUUGGUAUUGGAAGAGCUUGUAAUAGUACUCCUGUCGUCUUUUGCAUUAAUGCUUUAAUUCGUUUUACCUUCUUUGCACACACUUCAAUUUCGAUUUUUCAGUUAUUCAUCCGGCAACGCUCUGGUUGUGUGAUUAGGCAUCUUCAAUCUCAG